AAGUCAAAGGAAAGUAAAAUCUUUAUGGAAAGGUUUUUAGCUUCAGGAAUUCAUUAACUUUACUGGACAAAAAGCUCUAAUUUUCAGGAGUCAUCCACUCACAGAAGUGCCCUGGAGAAUAAUUCCUAAAGUUUAGAAACUCGUACCAUCACUCUUGAGCAGAACGGGACUACUGCUCAGGCAGUCUCUGGAAGAAGGCAAAGGAUUCAAGCAUCACUGAGAAAGAUGGUCCAGAUGGUCCCA